GAUGAACGCUGACAGAAUGCUUAACACAUGCAAGUCGAUGGGGAAGUGGUGCUUGCACCAUGGCAACCAUGGCGGACGGGUGAGUAACGCGUAAGGGACUUACCUGCAGGACUGGGAUAACAGGGGGAAACUCCUGACAAGACCGGAUAAUGUCAUGGAGCUGCAUGGCUUUAUGAUGAAAGGAGACGCCUGCGGAGAGCCUUGCGUCCUAUUAGCUAGUUGGUGAGGUAAUGGCUCACCAAGGCGAAGAUAGGUAGCCGGCCUGAGAGGGUGGACGGCCACAAGGGGACUAAGAUACGGCCCUUACUCCUACGGGAGGCGGCAGUGGGGAAUAUUGGACAAUGGGGGCAACCCUGAUCCAGCAAUUCUGUGUGCACGAAGAAGGUUUUCGGAUUGUAAAGUGCUUUCAGCAGGGAAGAAGUAAGUGACGGUACCUGCAGAAGAAGCGACGGCUAAAUACGUG
rnacentral:rRNA from 1 species